rnacentral:tRNA from 1 species
UCCCCGGUAGCUCAGUGGUAGAGCGACCGCCUGUUAAGCGGUUGGCCGUAGGUUCGAAUCCUACCCGGGGAGCCG